AUGCGAGGCCCUGUGCCGCCAUUAUUACACCCUUGAUUUUGAGCACCUUUGUUUCCUCGGCGGGUUCGCCCGCCAGCGAGGACCCCAUGAACUCUUUGUAUAAGCAGUUUUUGUCUGAAAAUAAACCAAAUAAUCAAAACUUUCAACAAUGGAUCUCUUGGUUCUGGCAUCGAUGAAGAACGCAGCGAAAUGCGAUAAGUAGUGUGAAUUGCAGAAUUCAGUGAAUCAUCGAAUCUUUGAACGCACAUUGCGCCCCUCGGUAUUCCGUGGGGCAUGCCUGUUCGAGCGUCAUUUAACCCCUCAAGCACAGCUUGGUAUUGGGCGUUUGUCCCGCCUCCGCGCGGCGACUCGCCUCAAAGUCAUUGGCAGCCCGCAUCCGCCGGCCAUGAGCGCAGCACAGUCGCGCACUAGGUCCCGGCGGUUCGGCCACCCAAAAGCUUAUUUCAACCUCAAUUGACCUCGGAUCAGGUAGGGAUACCCGCUGAACUUAAGCAUAUCAAUAAGCGGAGGAAAAGAAACCAACAGGGAUUGCCUCAGUAACGGCGAGUGAAGCGGCAACAGCUCAAAUUUGAAAUCUGGCUCUUUCAGGGUCCGAGUUGUAAUUUGUAGAGGAUGCUUUGGCGUUGGCCGUGGUCUAAGUUCCUUGGAACAGGACGUCACAGAGGGUGAGAAUCCCGUACGUGGCCGCCGGUCUUCGCCGUGUAAAGCUCCUUCGACGAGUCGAGUUGUUUGGGAAUGCAGCUCUAAAUGGGAGAUAAAUUUCUUCUAAAGCUAAAUAUUGGCCAGAGACCGAUAGCGCACAAGUAGAGUGAUCGAAAGAUGAAAAGCACUUUGGAAAGAGAGUCAAAAAGCACGUGAAAUUGUUGAAAGGGAAGCGCUUGCAGCCAGACGUGCCCGCAGUUGCUCACCCAGGCUCUUGCCUGGGGCAUUCUUCUGCGGGCAGGCCAGCAUCAGUCCGGGCGGUUGGAUAAAGGCCUCUAUCACGUAUCUUCCUUCGGGAUGACCUUAUAGGGGAGGCGCAACACGGCCAGCCUGGA
rnacentral:rRNA from 1 species